GAUGAACGCUGGCGGCGUGCAUAAUACAUGCAAGUCGAGCGAAUGGAUUAAGAGCUUGCUCUUAUGAAGUUAGCGGCGGACGGGUGAGUAACACGUGGGUAAUCUGCCCAUAAGACUGGGAUAACUCCGGGCAACCGGGGCUAAUACCGGAUAACAUUUUGAACCGCAUGGUUCGAACUUGAAAGGCGGCUUCGGCUGUCACUUAUGGAUGGACCCGCGUCGCAUUAGCUAGUUGGUGGGGUAACGGCUCACCACGGCAACGAUGCGUAGCCGACCUGAGAGGGUGAUCGGCCACACUGGGACUGAGACACGGCCCAGACUCCGACGGGAGGCAGCAGUAGGGAAUCUUCCGCAAUGGACGAAAGUCUGACGGAGCAACGCCGCGUGAGUGAUGAAGGCUUUCGGGUCGUAAAACUCUGUUGUUAGGGAAGAACAAGUGCUAGUUGAAUAAGCUGGCACCUUGACGGUACCUAACCAGAAAGCCACGGCUAACUACGUGCCAGCCGCCGCCGUAA
rnacentral:rRNA from 1 species